UACGUAGGGGGCAAGCGUUGUCCGGAUUUAUUGGGCGUAAAGAGCGUGUAGGCGGUUUGGUAGGUCCGCUGUGAAAACUCGAGGCUCAACCUCGAGACGCCGGUGGAAACCAUCAGGCUAGAGUCCGGAAGAGGAGAGUGGAAUUCCUGGUGUAGCGGUGAAAUGCGCAGAUAUCAGGAAGAACACCCGUGGCUAAGGCGGCUCGCUGGGACGGUACUGACGCUAAGGCGCGAAAGCGUGGGGAGCGAACAGG
rnacentral:rRNA from 1 species